GUUCCAGAGUCAUCACGUUCAUUACAUUUUCUUUCCUGAUCCAUCUCUGAACACAGAACUCAGUGACAGACGUGCAGUGAAGAGAGGGAUAGAUGUCUGCAGAAGAGGUUAGAUUCAAGAAGAGAUUGUGUUUAAAGCUGGAGCCAUUAUCUGAAACAUUCAAUGAGCAAAUUCUUCUGGACUUGAAUGUCACCAUAGACCUUGAAUGUGAAAUGGCUUCAUGCUAAUUGCUUUAAUUGCUUGAAGAUGUGCUGGCAGGUGAAACUUGAUCCCCUUGGCCAUUGUAGAGACCAAGAACAACACAGGAAUGUUUACAUAGUGGUUUGACUUUAAUAGACAGCACAGCUAAGUUUCAGACAGCAAAAACACAGCUAAUAGGUGACCUCUUAAUGUAGUCCUCCCUUUUUUAAAACAAAAUACAAUUUUGUGUUGUAAAAAGCAGUGUCCUAAAUGCCAAGGUUAUCUGCUUGGCUUUUUGAGUGAGCACACAUUACUUUGCACCUGACAUUUAUAUCGGAAACUCUAUCCUGAAUGCAUUUUUUUUACCUUAAAAUA